UAUUAUCGAAUAAGUGAAUAGGGCAUGGUACGACGUACUAAAAUUUGCUACUUUAUUCAUUGAUACCAGAUGGCGUUUUUGUAGUUUUCAGUAUAAACAAACAAAACUUGUAUGAAUAUCAUACGAAAUUCAGUGAAAUUUCGAGUUUUUUAAUUAUUUGUGUGUGAAAAAGAAUUAUAGUUUGUUUCAAAACUGUUAAAUAAGUGGAAAAGAAAGUACAAUAGGUAAAUUCUGCAGUUGUGCAUAGUUAGCAACAGCUGGUUUUCGAUCAGCUGGUGAUGAAGACACAUACAUGAAAAGAUUUGUUAAUGAAUCUCAUUGUAUAUAGUGAAAAUAGAGUUAUUGGUUGUAUCUCCAAGUAAAUUUACUGCCACCUGUAUGCGAAUCUUGUUAUUAUGUACAAUUUAGAAUUCAAAAUUUGGCAAUAGAUAUUUUAAAUUCAAAUAAAUCAGUCUAACAUCUAAAAUCUUUGACUAUGGAAA